rnacentral:rRNA from 1 species
UAGGGAAUAUUGCGCAAUGGUCGAAAGGCUGACGCAGCGACGCCGCGUGGAUGAUGAAGGUCUUCGGAUCGUAAAAUCCUGUCAGAUGGGAAGAAAUGUUUAUGUGUUAAUAUCACAUAUUCUUGACGGUACCAUCAAAGGAAGCACCGGCUAACUCCGUG